AUAAUAAAAAAAUUAUUUUUCUCCUCUUUCCCCUCAAAUUUUUUUUGGCCAUACAUAUGCAACUUAUUUGUUACAAGUAAAUAAAAUUUUUAUUUAUUUGAAAAUUAAAAACUUAUGUAGAAAAUGUCAAUAAUAACAAUAAUAAUCAUUUUGGCACAUAUAUAAUAAUAAUAAUCGAAUAUAUGGGUGGUUGUGUAAAUAUAUUAUUGUAUAACAGUGGGUGGAGGAGAGAGAGGGGAGAUAUAUAGUUGUGGGGAUAUUUUUUAGAUAAGUGGGUGGAUGGAUGGAUUUUUUAAUUUUAAAUAAAUAAAAUUUUUUUUAUUUUCAUAAAUAAGUUUUAUAAAUGCUGCUGAAAAAAGUAUGAGGGGAGUGAGAGGGGAAAAUUAUUUAUUUUUUUUAUACUAAAUAAUAUAAAUAUUUAUUUUCAACAAUUAUAUUAAGUAAUAAAAUAUUAAUUUUAGAUUAAGUUAAAUCACAAUUAAUCAAUUAGCUAUAAAUGAAAUAAACCUAUAAAAUUGAUUAUAAUUGAAAAAUAUUAUUUUUUAUCAUUAAAGUUACGCCAUGUCAGUAACAACGCAAUUAAAAAUUAAAGUUUACGAUACAUCAACAAAACAUAUAAAAAUAUUAUUUUAGCCAGAUCUGCUAUCACUUCAGCGCUGAAUUAGUCAAAAUUAAUUAAUUUUCCACAAUUAAGACUAAAGUUCCAAAUUAGGCCAUAAGUGUCUACCAUCUAGUAAUUUCUCCAAGUUAAAUGUUAGAUAUAGCUUGUCAUGGAAACUCUCUUGCUUUUUGUCACUACUUCCAUUACCUUGUUUAUUAGCUGCGUACUAUAUGUGUGCCCUUCUUGUUCAUUUCAGGGUCGGGAACGAUUAGGAGACAAUCCAUUAUUUAUUCUCGUAAGCGGUUAAAAGAAAAAACAAUGUUUAGGGGUGUCUGAUAGUCCUCAAAAUUAUAAAUUUGGUUGAGGUGAAAGGAUCUUGGUAAUAAAGGAUUGGACAACAGGAUAUGGAAUCCGUGUUCAUUUUUUAUUUUCAACUUUAUUUAUUUGGCUUGCUUGCAUUAAACUAUGAAUUUAAGAUAUUGGCUUAUGUCCAAUGUGGUUUUCCGUAGUGGAACAUCAAAUAUCAUUUGCAUUUUCAUCUUGAUGGGUGGUGCUCGUAUGAAUAUGGAAAAUAAGGGCAUUAAUGUUGUACCUUGAUAGACGCUGCCCACUUUUUGCUUAUUUACCUGUAUGCUUUUCUAUGUCAUGUUAUACUGUUAUGAUUUAUGGAUCCGAAAGAUUCUGAAAGGAAGCCUG
rnacentral:misc_RNA from 1 species